CGUCUAUAUACGUAUAGCAUAUCAAUAAGCGGAGGAAAAGAAACUAACAAGGAUUCCCUUAGUAACGGCGAGUGAAGCGGGAAGAGCUCAAAUUUGAAAUCUUCAAGGUUCUACCUUGACGAAUUGUAGUUUAAAGAAGUGUUUUUCUGUUAGAGGAGUAGCAAAAGUUCCUUGGAAUGGGACAUCAUAGAGGGUGAGAAUCCCGUAUUUGGUUAUUCUUUCUAGCUUUGUGAUACACCUUCAAAGAGUCGGAUUGUUUGGGAAUGCAGUCCAAAAUGGGUGGUAAAUUUCAUCUAAAGCUAACUAUUGGCGAGAGACCGAUAGCGAACAAGUACCGUGAGGGAAAGAUGAAAAGAACUUUGAAAAGAGAGUUAAACAGUACGUGAAAUUGUCAAAAGGGAAGCGUUUGACACCAGUGUUGUUUUUCCGAAAAUCAAUUAAGAGUGGCUUGAUUUUGUGUUGUAUUGACCUUAUCAGCUUUCUUCACUCUUUUUUCGAGUCUUUCUUAAUGCACUUUUCGGUUAACAAGUCAACAUCAAUUUCUUUUGUUGUAAAAGGGUAUUUGGAAGGUGGCUUUCUUUUCGGAGAAAGUGUUUAUAGCCUUAUACCUCUACAAUCGGAGAGAUUGAGGUCUGCAGCGUAGAUCCUUCGGGGCUAGAUACACUUGUGCUAAGUUAUAGCUUUUCAUAGACAACUUUGUUGACUAUGUUUAGUCAUGUAGCUUACCCGCUUGUGCUAUUUUACCUACGCUUAGGAUGUUGAGUCAUCACACAUCUCU
rnacentral:rRNA from 1 species